UCUGCUGGUAAACCUCUGCCUCGGUGAAGACCGCGGGAGCGUCCAUCCUGCCAGGAGCAAGCUCCGCUGCUGCUCCUCCCACAGUUUCCUUUGGAAAACUGCAGUUCCACCUCCUCGCCCCCAAAACCAGACAAUUCUCAGCCUUGGCCCCGGGUUCUGCCUCCAGCGCUGGUGCGAGGCCCCGCACCCCUGCCUGCACCAUGCCUGAGGGGGGUACCUGCCUGCACCGCGGCCCCUUGCCCGCUGUCCCGGGGUUGGGGAGCAGCGGGGUGCCGCAGCCUCCUUCACCAUCCCCGCCACGAAGAGGCAGCAGAGCCCUGCGCUUCUCGCGGCGGCGGGUCCCUGCAGCAUCUCGUCCUCUUCCCGCUCGCCCAGCAGCAGCCGAAAUGAUCAAACAGCUCCUGGCUCAUUACUGACUCCGCAUCUACGCAGUCGGCCUUUGCUUUUUUUAAAGCCCUGUCGUUAGGAGUGAUGGGCGGGUGAGCCGCCGAAUCAUCCUCAAACUAGUAAGAUUUAGGUUAGAACCCGGGGUGAUGUUGCUUUGCAAACCCCGCUUGCCGUAGCGUGUGCGUGGCCGGACCUGCUGGUGCGGAGCCAGCUGCUGAAGGUACGCAGCCUGAAAAGGACGACAGCUUGAGAGGUGAACAGGUUAAAGAGGUUUUCUUCUGAGAGCAAAGCCAACAGCAAGCGCUCCCUGCUGCUCCGGUGCUGGGACCCCGGGCUGAAACGCUCUCUAAAGCCACCAGCCCCACGAGAGCCCCCCGGCCAUGGCGAGCAGACCCGGGGGCGUCUUCCCAUGGGAUGUUGGCCCCAAAGCAGACCACGGGCACUCCCAGCCUUGCAGCUGGAAGCGCUGAGAUAAAUCCGAUUGAUGCCAGGGGUUUUGACCCUGACACCUGAAAUCUCAGCACGGCAAUGGGAAUGGUGGGUGGAGGAGAGGAGAAUUUACCCCCUGGUAAAUCCUUGGAGCUGGCACGCUGUACCCGUCUCACCCCCGCCGCUCACGCACGCCAGGCUGCGAGGGCAUGCUUCCACGAACACGCCAGCGGCAAAGCUGAUGCCGAAAAUGAAAAUCCGGUGACGCGCCGGCCUGUGCCCCCAGGGAAAGCGCCAGGGGUGGGAAUGAGCAGCAACGCCGCCCUGCCACGGCGGGGUGACCCAGCGGGGGUCAGCCCUGUGCCGAGGGUCGCCAAGUUUGCAGCAGGGCUCUGGGAGCCGCCUGAGCCCCCAGGCCGAGCCUAACGGCACGUGCCCUUGCCCGGGUCUGCAUUUAUUACUUUUAAAGACCGCGGGCUGAGGUGUGUAAAGCAGCGUAGCCCUGCAGCCGGCAGCAGCCCAGGGGCUUUGGCCCGUUUCUGGUGCCAUUUGCCGGCUCAGCGCUUGCGUUUCAGUCCAUAGAGCCUGGUUUCGCUCAUUGGAUGGCACGGUUUGGGGACAAAAGUGUGACUUUCCAGCACCCAGAGUGCCUCAGAGUAUUUAUGAGCGGGAACGGCGGAACAUCCCCGGGCUAGCAAACCCCUGCUCAGCACAGCUUCUCACCCACGCCACCAGCCUGGCACUUGCACUCGCUGCUCCUGGAAAUCGGAUGCAGAACCUGCCCCUGCGGCUCCCAGAGCCGGGAGCAGCCCCCGGGCAGCUCUGCCGCUCCCGCUUUUCCGGCUCUAUUGAAACCUCAGCCCUAGAUGGCUGAUUUCCAUUUUCCUCUGUACUUUUAGUUCAAUCAAAGUGUGUGAUUAGGGCUCUGCGGGCUCCAUUGUCAUCUCUACCUAAGUGCUUCUCUGAUUGAUAUAAACAGCAUUUCGAUAUUUACACUGUGGAA